GCAGAAUAAUAAUGCUAUUAUGCUUUAGUCAGAAGUCAGCAGACGACAUAGUACCUUGUUCCUCUACACUAAACAAGGGAAGGUC
rfam:Sphingobacterium sp. JB170 genome assembly, contig: Scaffold66